rnacentral:rRNA from 1 species
AGCGAACGCUGGCGGCAGGCCUAACACAUGCCAGUCGAACGAAGUCUUCGGACUUAGUGGCGGACGGGUGAGUAACACGUGGGAACGUGCCUUUAGGUUCGGAAUAACUCAGGGAAACUUGUGCUAAUACAGAAUGUGCCCUUCGGGGGAAAGAUUUAUCGCCUUAGAGCGGACCGCGUCUGAUUAGCUAGUUGGUGAGGUAAAGGCUCACCAAGGCUACGAUCAGUAGCUGGUCUGAGAGGAUGACCAGCCACAUUGGGACUGAGACACGGCCCAAACUCCUACGGGAGGCAGCAGUGGGGAAUCUUGCGCAAUGGGCGAAAGCCUGACGCAGCCAUGCCGCGUGGAUGAUGAAGGUCUUAGGAUUGUAAAAUCCUUUCACCGGUGAAGAUAAUGACUGUAGCCGGAGAAGAAGCCCCGGCUAACUUCGUGCCAGCCGCCGCGGUAAAAC